rnacentral:RNase_MRP_RNA from 1 species
UACAUACAUAAUAUAUCCUGCAGUAAUAUUAGCAGUUCCCCACUCCAGUUGUCAACACUGGGCAAUAAGGUUACGCAGCGGCGGACAGAACUGACUCAGCUGGAAGCAAUAAAAAAGAACAACAACAGACAAAAAUAACCUCCACUCUCUAAAUAAUUAUGCUGCCCGUCGUCGAGGAGGAUGAUGUGUCUGCUGCUGUUGGGCAAGUCGUUGAUGGAGAAGUCGAGAUUGAGAAGAAGGGUGUCAGUGACU